CUACGUGCCAGCAGCCGCGGUAAUACGUAGGUGGCAAGCGUUGUCCGGAAUUAUUGGGCGUAAAGAGCUUGUAGGCGGUUUGUCGCGUCUGCUGUGAAAGGCCGGAGCUUAACUCCGUGUAUUGCAGUGGGUACGGGCAGACUAGAGUGCAGUAGGGGAGACUGGAAUUCCUGGUGUAGCGGUGGAAUGCGCAGAUAUCAGGAGGAACACCGAUGGCGAAGGCAGGUCUCUGGGCUGUAACUGACGCUGAGAAGCGAAAGCAUGGGGAGCGAACAGGAUUAGAUACCCUGGUAGUCCAUGCCGUAAACGUUGGGCACUAGGUGUGGGGAACAUUCCACGUUUUCCGCGCCGUAGCUAACGCAUUAAGUGCCCCGCCUGGGGAGUACGGCCGCAAGGCUAAAACUCAAAGAAAUUGACGGGGGCCCGCACAAGCGGCGGAGCAUGCGGAUUAAUUCGAUGCAACGCGAAGAACCUUACCAAGGCUUGACAU
rnacentral:rRNA from 1 species